ACCUUUACGAGGGAAUAGCCCAGAGUAAAUUUGGAUUAAUCGCCCAUAGUAUAUUGAAUGGCAUCUAAUUUAAUUAUUAAAGUCACAACGGUAAAAGAUGAGCAUGCGUCCAUUAGUUAGUUGGUAAGGUAACGGCUUACCAAGACAAUGAGUGGGUAAGGGUCCUGAGAGGGAGAUCCCCCACACUGGUACUGAGACACGGACCAGACUCCUACGGGAGGCAGCAGUGAGGAAUAUUGGACAAUGGGCGCAAGCCUGAUCCAGCCAUGCCGCGUGCAGGAAGACGGUCCUAUGGAUUGUAAACUGCUUUAUACAGGAAGAAACACUCCGACGUGUCGGAGCUUGACGGUACUGUAGGAAUAAGGAUCGGCUAACUCCGUG
rnacentral:rRNA from 1 species